UUUAAGUUAUUUGAUGCUCCAGCCUUUAUACAGUCUCUCCUGGCAGUGCCCCUUUCAUCGGCUGGGCCUAGUUUUAGCUUUUGGGAAGCGUGACCCCAGGGGCUCUGAGACUGGGCCUUCUUGCCUCAGCACAUCUUGUUUCUUUCUGUGGUUCCCCAGUGAGUCCAAAUGAGUAGAUACUCCUCAUACAUACUCAGGUCUCUGCAGUGCC